GAUGAACGCUGGCGGCGUGCCUAAUACAUGCAAGUCGAACGCACAGCGAAAGGUGCUUGCACCUUUCAAGUGAGUGGCGAACGGGUGAGUAACACGUGGACAACCUGCCUCAAGGCUGGGGAUAACAUUUGGAAACAGAUGCUAAUACCGAAUGAAACUUAGUGUCGCAUGAUACGAAGUUAAAAGGCGCUUUGGCGUCACCUAGAGAUGGAUCCGCGGUGCAUUAGUUAGUUGGUGGGGUAAAGGCCUACCAAGACAAUGCUGCAUAGCCGAGUUGAGAGACUGAUCGGCCACAUUGGGACUGAGACACGGCCCAAACUCCUACGGGAGGCUGCAGUAGGGAAUCUUCCACAAUGGGCGAAAGCCUGAUGGAGCAACGCCGCGUGUGUGAUGAAGGCUUUCGGGUCGUAAAGCACUGUUGUAUGGGAAGAACAGCUAGAAUAGGGAAUGAUCUUAGUUUGACGGUACCAUACCAGAAAGGGACGGCUAAAUACGUGCCAGCAGCCGCGGUAA
rnacentral:rRNA from 1 species